UACGUAGGGUCCGAGCGUUGUCCGGAAUUAUUGGGCGUAAAGGGCUCGUAGGCGGUCUGUCGCGUCUGCUGUGAAAACUCGGGGCUUAACUCCGGGCCUGCAGUGGGUACGGGCAGACUAGAGUGCGGUAGGGGAGACUGGAAUUCCUGGUGUAGCGGUGAAAUGCGCAGAUAUCAGGAGGAACACCGGUGGCGAAGGCGGUUCUCUGGGCCUUACCUGACGCUGAGGAGCGAAAGCAUGGGGAGCAAACAGG
rnacentral:rRNA from 1 species